rnacentral:rRNA from 1 species
AGAAUUUGAUCUUGGUUCAGAUUGAAUGCUGACAGCGUGGAUGAGGCAUGCAAGUCGAACGAAGUUAUAGGGUAACCUGUGACUUAGUGGCGGAAGGGUUAGUAAUACAUGAAUAACUUACCUGUAACCUGGGGAUAACGGUUGGAAACGACCGCUAAUACCGAAUGGCACAACAUUGAGAAUUACAAAGUUGUUAAAGUAGGGGACCUUGAAAGGGGCCUUGCGGUUAGAGAGAGGUUCAUGGGAUAUCAGCUAGUUGGUGGGGUAAUGGCUCACCAAGGCUAAGACGUCUAGGCGGAUUGAGAGAUUGACCGCCAACACUGGGACUGAGACACUGCCCAGACUCCUACGGGAGGCUGCAGUCGAGAAUCUUUCGCAAUGGGCGCAAGCCUGACGAAGCGACGCCGUGUGAGCGAAGAAGGCCUUCGGGUUGUAAAGCUCUUUCGCCAGGGAACAAGAGAGACAGGAUAAUACCCUGUUGAUUUGAUGGUACUUGGUAAAGAAGCACCGGCUAACUCCGUGCCAGCAGCUGCGGUAAUACGGAGGGUGCAAGCGUUAAUCGGAAUUACUGGGCGUAAAGGGCGCGUAGGCUGUUUGACAAGUUAGAUGUGAAAUUUCGGUGCUCAACACCGAAGCGGCAUCUAAAACUGUUAGACUAGAGGGUAGGCGGAGAAAAUGGAAUUCCACGUGUAGCGGUGAAAUGCGUAGAUAUGUGGAAGAACACCGGUGGCGAAAGCGGUUUUCUAGCUUGCAACUGACGCUGAGGCGCGAAAGCGUGGGGAGCAAACAGGAUUAGAUACCCUGGUAGUCCUUGCCGUAAACGAUGUAUACUUGAUGUAAUAGGACUUAACC